GUGGGUGCUGCUCAUGAUCAUCUUGUCUAGGUGGGUUAGGGGUUAGGUGGGUGCUGCUCAUGAUCAUCUAGUCUAGGUGGGUUAGGGGUUAGGUGGGUGCUGCUCAUGAUCAUCUUGUCUAGGUGGGUUAGGGGUUAGGGUUAGGGGUUAGGGGUUAGGUGGGUGCUGCUCAUGAUCAUCUAGUCUAGGUGGGUUAGGGGCUAGGGGUUAGGGGUUAGGUGGGUGCUGCUCAUGAUCAUCUAGUCUAGGUGGGUUAGGGGCUUGGGGUUAGGGGUUAGGGGUUAUGUGGGUGCUGCUCAUGAUCAUCUAGUCUAGGUGGGUUAGGGUUAGGGGUUAGGGUUAGGGGUUAGGGAUUAGGUGGGUGCUGCUCAUGAUCAUCUAGUCUAGGUGGGUUAGGGGCUAGGGGUUAGGGGUUAGGUGGGUGCUGCUCAUGAUCAUCUAGUCUAGGUGGG
ensembl:lncRNA